UAGGGAAUCUUCCACAAUGGGCGAAAGCCUGAUGGAGCAACGCCGCGUGUGUGAUGAAGGGUUCCGGCUCGUAAAACACUGUUGUAAGAGAAGAAUGACAUUGAGAGUAACUGUUCAAUGUGUGACGGUAUCUUACCAGAAAGGAACGGCUAAAUACGUGCCAA
rnacentral:rRNA from 1 species